UUUUCAGGUUUGGAAUAGUUCACCAGUGAAGUCAUCUCAACGAGCACAGGGCCUUCACUUCUAACAACAAUCACGUGAAUUUGGAAGGGGAUCCUUCCCCAACUGAACCUUCUUCACUUGAGACCUGGUCCUUGGCCAUCAUCUGCAUCUGGAUUCAUGAUACAGAGAAACUUGAGUAAUGAUGACAAUGGCAGCCAUGCCGUCUCCCAUUCUUACCACCGGAUGUGAAGAAAUUCUAGAUGCGAUCCAGCCAAUCUGUACUCGACUCUCAGUUCCAUCUUCUCAACUCACAGUGUCUUCCAAAGUCCAUGCCACACCACAGCCUGGAAAAUCUCCCAAAGCAGUAUCUUGAGGCAAUGGUAGAGCUCAUGUCACAGCAUUGUAUGUCUCAGCUGUGGUGUCAGGGAACACUGGCUUCAUACAGUGCGUUGGGAAAGGUUCUCUACUCGUCUGAUUUUAUUGAUUGUUAUUAAUGCUGAAAGGCUUUGAAUAACACACAGUGAAGUCAUCUUGACCUGGACAGAAAUUGAAUCCUUACAAGAAUUCUAGGAGCUUGGAAGGGGAUCCUUUGCCAGGUGAGCCUUCCCUUGAACUCUCUGCCAGGUAUCUGACCCAGAGAAACUGUAAGUACUAUGUAGGGCUGGGUUUGAAAGUCUAAACUGUGUAGUAAUAUGUUAUACAACGAUCAAUCGGUAAUAUGCCUGACAGUAAAUGUAAUGUGGUAUCUUCGAUUAGAUACUUGACCAGAAAAAUGACAUUAGUGGAAAACCUGGUAAAAUAUGAAGAAAAUCUAUUUCAGUUAAUAGUUUUGUACCACUGUCAAUUUCUGAGUUUUCAUAAAUGUGCUAUGGUGAUAUAAGGUGUUCACAUUUCAGGAAGCUGUAGAACAUAUGAAACUCUAUUAUUUUACUACUUUCUGUAAAACUAAAACUAUGAUGAAAGCAUUUCUUAAAAUGUAAUAUUCAGGUACCAAAAAAUAAAACAACAAUAAGAAAGACAGAUUUAAACCACAAUAAAGCCACAGAUCAGAGGAUGAAUGGAGAUGUGGGGAGACUAUGGCAAAGUAGCUUGCCUUAUUAUACC